rnacentral:tRNA from 1 species
UCCUGGGUGGCUCAGCUGGUAAAGUGUCUGCCUACAAUGCGGGAGACGCAGGUUCAAUCCCUGGGUCAGGAA